UACGUAGGGAGCAAGCGUUGUCCGGAAUCAUUGGGCGUAAAGCGCGCGUAGGUGGCCUCAUAAGUCCGCUGUGAAAGUCCAGGGCUCAACCCUGGGAUGCCGGUGGAUACUGUCGGGCUCGAGUCCGGAAGAGGCGAGUGGAAUUCCUGGUGUAGCGGUGAAAUGCGUAGAUAUCAAGAGGAACACCUGCGGCGAAGGCGGGUUGCUGGGCCGACACUGACGCUGAGGCGCGAAAGCUAGGGGAGCGAACGGG
rnacentral:rRNA from 1 species